ensembl:lncRNA
GUUUUAGCUGCUUGUUCAAACCACGGGGCAAAACUUUAUGGAUGAGCCCUCAGUGUGUAAGGCAGGGAAGCCUGAAUUCCACACCAAAGCCCUGCUGUGCAGGGCAUCCAUGGUCCAAUCUUGUCUGGGAUUUGGUUUCUCCACUUAGAAAACAGGACUGAUGACCUCAAGGGUGAUUCCACCUCAACAUUCCAGAUUGUGUGGACAGGACUGACUCUGGUCACAGCCGUAUCCCCGACACCCAGGAUGGAACUGGCCCAACAAGAGGAGGACUUCUAUCCGUGCCUGCAUGGUUUAUCAGCAGUA